UGUAGAAGUAGUCAUAUUUGAUACUUGUGAUGUAGUUGUAGUCGGUACGGAUUCUUUAGAGUUUGUGGCAUGUAAGGCAUCCAAAAUUAUCUUUGCAUCUUCAGAAAGUUGAAAUUCCGACCUACAAUCUAUCCAUAGACUUUGAAGCCCUGAAAGCUGGUUGGAAAUAGACGACAGUUCAUGUGAACUACAAACUUCAUCUGAACUAAGUUUAUCCAAAAGUGUAAAAGAUCUAUAUUCAUUACGAGGUGACAGUUCAUCUGGACAACUCUUUGGUUCUUCUAAAGAAAAAUAAGAUGACAACGCAUGUCCAUCCGAAAUCAUAAAAGAUUCAGAUAAACAAUCAAAAGAUGGCAUCGAAUCAAAAGAUGGCAUCGGAUCAAAAGAUCUUUGAUCUGCGGAAAUCAGAUUAUUUGUUGGUGACAUCCAAGACUGAAUGA
rnacentral:lncRNA from 1 species